rnacentral:rRNA from 1 species
GACGAACGCUGGCGGCGUGCUUAACACAUGCAAGUCGAACGGAAAGGCCCUGCUUUUGUGGGGUGCUCGAGUGGCGAACGGGUGAGUAACACGUGAGUAACCUGCCCUUGACUUUGGGAUAACUUCAGGAAACUGGGGCUAAUACCGGAUAGGAGCUCCUGCUGCAUGGGGGGGGUUGGAAAGUUUCGGCGGUGGGGGAUGGACUCGCGGCUUAUCAGCUUGUUGGUGGGGUAGUGGCUUACCAAGGCUUUGACGGGUAGCCGGCCUGAGAGGGUGACCGGCCACAUUGGGACUGAGAUACGGCGCAGACUCCUACGGGCGGCAGCAGUGGAGAAUAUUGCACAGUGAGCGGAAGCCUGAUGCAGCAACGCCGCGUGCGGGAUGACGGCCUUCGGGUUGUAAACCGCUUUCGCCUGUGACGAAGCGUGAGUGACGGUAAUGGGUAAAGAAGCACCGGCUAACUACGUG